rnacentral:rRNA from 1 species
UAACAAGGUUUCCGUAGGUGAACCUGCGGAAGGAUCAUUGUCGAAGCCUGCCCAGCAGAAACCCCGGCGCGGUCUGCGCCAAGGAACUUCAACUAAAGAGUGCCUCCGGUCGCCUCGGAAACGGCGUGCGUGCCGGAGGCGAAUCUUGUGCAAAACCAUAACGACUCUCGGCAACGGAUAUCUCGGCUCUCGCAUCGAUGAAGAACGUAGCGAAAUGCGAUACUUGGUGUGAAUUGCAGAAUCCCGCGAAUCAUCGAGUCUUUGAACGCAAGUUGCGCCCGAAGCCAUCUGGUCGAGGGCACGUCUGCCUGGGUGUCACGCAUCGUUGCCCCCAACCCCAUCGCCUCUCCAAGAGACGAGGGCGGUCUGCGGGGCGGACAUUGGCCUCCCGUGAGCUUUCGCUCGCGGCUGGCCUAAAAGCGAGUCCUCGGCGACGAGCGCCACGACAAUCGGUGGUUGACAAACCCUCGUGUCCCGUCGUGCGCGGCUCGUCGCUCGUCUUGUGCUCUGUGACCCUGUAGCGUCGCGCUCGCGACUCUUCCAACGCGACCCCAGGUCAGGCGGGACUACCCGCUGAA